UUAUCAGGACUGUGAAUUAACAC
rnacentral:piRNA from 1 species